rnacentral:tRNA from 1 species
GCCUGGGUGGCUCAGUAGGUUAUGCGUCUGACUUCAGCUCAGGUCAUGAUCUCAGGGUUUGUGGGUUCGAGCCCCGCAUCAGGCU